UACGUAGGGGGCUAGCGUUGUCCGGAUUUAUUGGGCGUAAAGAGCGUGUAGGCGGCCAGGUAGGUCUGCUGUGAAAACUCGAGGCUCAACCUCGAGACGUCGGCGGAAACCAUCUGGCUAGAGUCCGGAAGAGGAGAGUGGAAUUCCUGGUGUAGCGGUGGAAUGCGCAGAUAUCAGGAGGAACACCUGCGGCGAAGGCGGGUUGCUGGGCCGACACUGACGCUGAAGCGCGAAAGCUAGGGGAGCGAACGGG
rnacentral:rRNA from 1 species